UGCCAACCAAUAACUGCCUAUAGAUUCUUA
rnacentral:piRNA from 1 species